rnacentral:tRNA from 1 species
GGGGGUGUAGUUUACCUGGUAAAACGGUUGAUUUGCAGUCAGUAGAAACGAGUUCAAGUCUCGUCACCUCCA